UAAUACGAAGGGGGCGAGCGUUGUUCGGAUUUACUGGGCGUAAAGGGCGCGUAGGCGGCGCCGCAAGUCGCGUGUGAAAGCCCCGGGCUCAACCUGGGAGGUGCGCUCGAGACUGUGGUGCUGGAGUUCGGGAGAGGAGCGUGGAAUUCCCAGUGUAGAGGUGAAAUUCGUAGAUAUUGGGAAGAACACCGGUGGCGAAGGCGGCGCUCUGGACCGAGACUGACGCUGAGGCGCGAAGGCGUGGGGAGCAAACAGGAUUAGAUACCCUGGUAGUCCACGCGGUAAACGAUGUGUGCUAGACGUUGGGGAGCCUAGCUCUUCGGUGUCGCAGCAAACGCUUUAAGCACACCGCCUGGGGAGUACGGCCGCAAGGUUA
rnacentral:rRNA from 1 species